UACGGAGGGUGCGAGCGUUGUUCGGAAUUAUUGGGCGUAAAGCGCACGUAGGCGGUCUGGUAAGUCUCACUGUGAAAGCCCGGGGCUCAACCCCGGGAGGCCAGGGGAUACUGCAAGGCUGGAGACAAGCAGAGGUUGGUAGAAUUCCGGGUGUAGCGGUGGAAUGCGUAGAGAUCCGGAGGAAUACCAGAGGCGAAGGCGGCCAACUGGGCUUGUUCUGACGCUGAGGUGCGAAAGCGUGGGGAGCGAACAGG
rnacentral:rRNA from 1 species